rnacentral:rRNA from 1 species
CAGCCGUAAACUAUGCGCGUUAGGUGUAUCGGUGACCACGAGUUACCGAGGUGCCGAAGGGAAACCGUGAAACGUGCCGCCUGGGAAGUACGGUCGCAGGGCUGAAACUUAAAGGAAUUGGCGGGGGAGCACCACAACAGGUGGAGCCUGCGGUUUAAUUGGAUUCAACGCCGGACAUCUCACCGGAUAAGACAGCUGAAUGAUUGUCAAUCUGAAGGUUUUACAUGACUAGCUGAGAGGAGGUGCAUGGCGUCAGUGACU